GGUCAUCCCUGCUACGAGCAACUGUUUCUAAACUCGCUGCCAGCGAAGAAGAAAAUGUCCUCGGGGGUCGGGCGGUGGGGUGCUGGAGCCUAUCCCAGCUGCAUUCGGGCGGUAGGCGAGGUACACUCUGGACAAGUUGCCACCUCUUCACAAGGUGUCCUACUGGAACAUGUACAGGAUGAAUGUUCGACGCUACAGUGCUGUGAUCCGCCAAUGAUGUUUGGCGCGUGCCAGCAACCUGAGGGUCCCCGGUUCGAUCCCCACCUUCUACCCACCUAAUCACGUCCGCUUUGUCCUUGGACAAGACACUUCACCCUUGCUCCUGGUGGGUCACGGUCACAACUACUGGAGCCGUGCGGGACCCUGACGGAAUCCUCGAGCCAGGAAGUGACCUCGCGGGGAUGCCAGUCUGAGCCGACAUUUUGGACCGCACAUUUCCUGGAGGACAUGAAGGCCAGGUUUGUGCGGUUCCAACCCACGGGCCUCGCUGACGGACAGAAAAAG